rnacentral:rRNA from 1 species
GACGUAGGGGGCCAGCGUUGUUCGGAAUUACUGGGUGUAAAGGGUUCGUAGGCGGUGUGGCAAGUCGGGAGUGAAAUCUCUGGGCUCAACUCAGAGACUGCUUCCGAAACUGCUGUGCUGGAGUGUGGGAGAGGCGCGUGGAAUUGCAGGUGUAGCGGUGAAAUGCGUAGAUAUCGGGAGGAACACCAGUGGCGAAGGCGAGUCUCUGGGAUGAUGCUGACGCUGAGGCGCGAAAGCCAGGGGAGCAAACGGG